GGGGAUAGAGUCGGGGAAGGGCUGUCCAAAAAAUGAAUUAAGAGGGAAAUGAGAGAUUAGAGGAUGUAGUGGACUGAGGCGUUCUCGACCGCAGAUAAAAACACCAGAAUACAAAAGAAAUUCUCGAGGAGCUUGCCUGGGGAACUGAAUCCUUGGUUACCUUGCCUUUGUAAAGACUGGUUGUGGAAAUUGCCUAUCUGUUACUAUCAUUGACAUGAAACCACCAGGAAGUAUCCUUGCAAGUCCCUCUGAUAAAGUUCAAGACACUAAAAUAUGGAUUCUUCCUGUCCAAGAACAUGAUUUAUCAUCCUACUGCAAUGGGGAAAACCUGGGUUGCAUCUCUGGCUCGAGAAGAUUCCCUGGAAGAGGGCAUGGCAACCCACUCCAGUAUUCUUGCCUGGAGAAUCCCCAUGGACACAGGAGCCUGGAAGGCUGCAGUCCAUGGGGUCGCAAAGAGUCAGACAUGACUGAGCAACUAAGCACAGCACACUUCUAACUUUUCAAGUUAGAUUUUUAAAAUUUAUUCUUAGCCUUUUUUUUUUUUUUUUUUUGUCCAGAUGAAAAACAUUUAAGGGAAUAAAUUUUUCUUCAAGAACUCCUUAACCAACAUACAUUUUCUAUUUUUGUUUAGUUACAAACACUUUGUAUAUUGUUACAGUUUUUUCAUUGACCUAUGAGUUGUUUAGAUUUUUAAAACAUUUCCAAGUGAAUGGAGUUUUCCAAAUAAUAUUAAAGUUCAUUUCUAACUUAAGUGAAUUGGGAAUGGUGAAUGUGGUCAGUAUAAUACUGAUGCUUUGGAAUUUGACAAGACUAUUUCAUGGUAUAUAAUGUUAUUAAUUUUUAUGAACAUUCUCUGCACGCUUAAACAUUUACUAGGGACAGUAUUCAAUUUGUGCUAUUAUUUCUAAUCUUCUAUUUCUUUCUUUCUGUUUAUUUCACUUAUAUGUAUAAAUUUAGGGGUUUUUUUGGUGUCUGUUCUUUCCAACAUCUAGGUCUUCCUUUACUGUCUGUUGUUUAUGCUGGUUCUCACUUAUAAUGCUUUGUUUACUUGUGUGUUUUGUGAUUUUUGAUAAUGGAUGUAAUGCUGGUUUUCUCUGGAACUUAGUGAAAAACUAUUGAAACUUCCUAAGAGGAACUGGGUUUCCCUGGUGGCUCAGUGGUUAAAAAAAAAAAAAGAAGAAAGACAGAAAUCCACCUGCAGUGCAGCAGACUCGGGAGAUGCAGGUUCAAUCCCUAGGUUGGGAAGAUCUCCU